UGACCUCGGAUCAGGUAGGGAUACCCGCUGAACUUAAGCAAC
rnacentral:rRNA from 1 species